ensembl:lncRNA
CUGCCCGUGGCCGUGACCGGCGGGCAGGCAAGCAGCAUUCCACAUGUGCUCCCGGGUUUCCCGAUUGGUGUGCUCCGCCGAAGGGGCUGGUCCUGGAAGUCAGCUCCUGUGCCUGUCACAGAUGAUAUUUUUAUGCAAGGAAACAAAACCAGGAUAUCUGAUGGACUGUGUUAUCUUUACAGACAGCUUGGAGCUACAGAUGCAAGGCAAGAAGUUUUAUGCUUGAACUUUGAAACUGUGGGGUUUCCUUGCAACCGUUUUGAUUUCCCUGUUCUGCACACUAGGACAGUCCAGAGAUCCUGCACUACAGAGAGGAGAGGUUUUGUGUGACUCUCUGCCGGCUCUGUCCUAUCUCCUGAGAUCCAUCCCAGAGGCAUUAGCUGGCCUUGUUUCAAAUGGGAGAGCCAGCUCUGACUGAUAUUGCUGAAGCUGAAAGGAUUCAGAUGUUUUUAUAUGAGAAUCCAAGCAUUAAUAAUGACUGUGUGAUCAUGGUUUUGGAAAGCUAAGAAUAUGUUUCCUGGCUACAUAUGCAGAUGUAUGUUUCUUAAGAAAAGCAAGAAUGAAUUUUGAUCUCUGAUGGAUGAAACCCAUUGGAAUGGAAACUAACAUCUAUGAAGAAGAACAGGGCUCACCUUAUCUUACAUCUGCCAAGUGCCUGGGAACUCCAAAGGAAGCCAAGUAUGAAGAAUACCAAAGAAAGACAGAAAAUCAGACAAGUCCAUAUGAAUUUCAGAAUUCAUUAUUGGAACCUGAGCUAAGCUUGCUGUCUGUGUCAUCCUUAUUGGACAACAAUGAGACAUCUUUACAACUUGGCAUGGCUGCAGGGCAUGCCAGUGCCACCAACCAGCCUGAGACAAAGCACCUUUGUGGAGAAUUAUCUUGUUCUACAAAGCACACAUCAAAGGAAGAUCCUUUUAACAUUCCCAGGAACACAGAAUGGCCAGUCCUCACAGGAAAAAAUUCAGACAAGAAACCAGAAACAAAUUAUGAGAUCAGAGUUAUAGAACACAAACCAUGUGCUAUCACAUUUUCUGAUUUUGAAUUUUUAUCACAUGAAGCUGACACUAAGCUCCAUAUUUGUGAGGCAGGAGAAGCAGAUGAUUUUUCUUCUGAAGAGGAAGAGAAAGGUAACAGAGGUGAUCAUGACACAUUUACAGAACUGCCACUUUAUGAGGCAUUUUUCAAACGUCUUCAGAGAAGGAAUGUUUCCCAAAGAAAGCAAGCUCAACAUGAAUUUACUAAAUAUCAGCACAUCUGUCAUUUAGAAGACUGCAAUAAUCAUUCUGAGAAGGCAUUGAAGGACCAUGACAAAGAAGAAAAACACAUGGAGCUAGAGUGCCCUGCUCAAGUAGAGACAGGCCUUUAUGGAGAUUAUCAAGAAAAAGGAUCUUGGAAAAAUAGAAGAGGAGACUACCAGUAUCUAAAUUGUUUACCUUACCGAAUGUUGACUGGAGCACGGCCUAAAUCUGACGUAAGUAGCCUCAAAAUUUACUAUGUAUCAUUAAAAUUGUCUAUGCAUUUCUUCAAAAUAAUUUGUUCCACACAUAUCAAAUGUUU